rnacentral:rRNA from 1 species
UAGGGAAUCUUCGGCAAUGGACGGAAGUCUGACCGAGCAACGCCGCGUGAGUGAAGAAGGUUUUCGGAUCGUAAAGCUCUGUUGUAAGAGAAGAACGAGUGUGAGAGUGGAAAGUUCACACUGUGACGGUAUCUUACCAGAAAGGGACGGCUAACUACGUGCCAGCAGCCGCGGUAAUACGUAGGUCCCGAGCGUUGUCCGGAUUUAUUGGGCGUAAGGCGAGCGCAGGCGGUUAGAUAAGUCUGAAGUUAAAGGCUGUGGCUUAACCAUAGUACGCUUUGGAAACUGUUUAACUUGAGUGCAAGAGGGGAGAGUGGAAUUCCAUGUGUAGCGGUGAAAUGCGUAGAUAUAUGGAGGAACACCGGUGGCGAAAGCGGCUCUCUGGCUUGUAACUGACGCUGAGGCUCGAAAGCGUGGGGAGCAAACAGGAUUAGAUACCCUGGUAGUCCACGCCGUAAACGAUGAGUGCUAGGUGUUAGACCCUUUCCGGGGUUUAGUGCCGUAGCUAACGCAUUAAGCACUCCGCCUGGGGAGUACGACCGCAAGGUUG